rnacentral:rRNA from 1 species
CCUACGGGUGGCAGCAGUGGGGGAUAUUGCACAAUGGGGGAAACCCUGAACCAGCGACGCCGCGUGCGGGAUGAAGUAUUUCGGUUUUUAAAGCUCUAUUUGCAGGGAAGAAAAGGACAUUACCUGACAAGGAAGCCCCGUCUAACUACGUGCAAGCAGCCGCGGUACUACGGAGGGGGCAAGGGUGAUCCGGAUUAUCGGGGUGUAAGGGGGGCGUAGUCGGUUUUGUAAGUCUGGGGUGAAAGCCUGGGGCUAAACCCGGGGACUGCUUGGGAACCUGUGUAACUGGAGUACAGGAGGGGCAGGCGGAAUUCGUGGUGUAGCGGUGAAAUGCGUAGAUAUCAGGAAGAACACCGACGGCGAAGGCAGCCUGCUGGACUGAAACUGACGUUGAGGCUCGAAAGCGUGGGGAGCAAACAGGAUUAGAUACCCGUGUAGUC